rnacentral:misc_RNA from 1 species
GAUGAAGAACGCAGCGAAAUGCGAUACGUAAUGUGAAUUGCAGAAUUCAGUGAAUCAUCGAGUCUUUGAACGCACAUUGCGCCCCCUGGUAUUCCGGGGGGCAUGCCUGUCCGAGCGUCAUUGCUGCCCUCAAGCACGGCUUGUGUGUUGGGCCUCCGUCCUCCUCCCGGGGGACGGGCCCGAAAGGCAGCGGCGGCACCGCGUCCGGUCCUCGAGCGUAUGGGGCUUCGUCACCCGCUCUUGUAGGCCCGGCCGGCGCUUGCCGACACAUCAAUCUUUUUUCCAGGUUGACCUCGGAUCAGGUAGGGAUACCCGCUGAACUUAAGCUUAUCAAUAAGCGGAGGA